rnacentral:lncRNA from 1 species
UUCUUUUUCUGCAUCCGCUGCUCUGUUAAGUGAUCACCACAUUCAUUGUUCUCGUUUCUAUUAUUUCUGAAAAAAAUCUUCAGGAUUCUGCUUGUGGGAGUGGAUGACAUUUUUACAGUGUUUACAGGCUGAAAAUUUUUCGAGCUUUUAUGCUCUGCUUCCGUUAUAAGGAGGAGGCCUCACAAUCCUGGUGGAAGGCAAGGAGGAGCAAGUCACAUCUUAUGUGGAUGGCAGCAGGCAAAGAAAGCUUAUGCAGCUUUAUCUAUUCCAGAAUGUCAUAUAGCUGGUAUAAGAAAGAACACUAAUCAUUCCUAAGGAAGAAAAUUAACAACGCCGUGAGUUAUAAUAUCUGGCUGAAACUGAAGGAGCUCUGUGUAAUUAAAAGUCCUUUCUGCCCUGCCUGGCCAUGGUUCUGUAUGCAUUGAUGUCUUACAAACUGAAAAAAAAAAAAGUUAUUUUCUCAUCUCCAUUCCCUAGCAUAGACAUAUUACAUGAUGUGGAAUUGAAACAAGAAAAUUGCAUUUUAAUCUUCCACUCAGAACAUAGAAGAAUGAAACAAACAAACAAAAAAUACUCUGUUGUCUUAGUCUACCACAAGCAAAAUCUGGCAGUCUCUUUGCUUUGGUAAUGGCAUAAAUUCCUUGAUUAGCCUAUAGGAUAGCCCAUUGUUCUGCUCUUUUAGUGGAAUAGCUAGCAAUUGCUUUGUCAUUUUUUCCCCAUGGUUCCUACCAUUAGUGUUGGGAGGUUUCUUCUUUGUUUUUUUGAGAAAGAGGAAAAAGUUGUUAUAUUUUCAUAAAAACUUAAAUUUCAUCCAAAAUACUUGAUUUUCAUGAAGAAAGUAAAUAUCUCUGCCCCUAGUAUACAUGUGUGGAAACUUUCAGAACCCUGAAGAUAAAUACAUUUCAAACAAGUGAGUUUGAAAAUAUCAAUAGCAAAAUAGGAAGUAAGCUAAUUAGAGAGGUAAGAACUAGAUGGCUUAGCAUUCCAAUAAUAAUAUAUAACCUUCUUUAAGAGUAAAAUCUUGGUCAAAAGACAGAUGAAAACUCCAAUAAAAUUUCACAACUCAUGGAAAA